rnacentral:lncRNA from 1 species
CGCUUGCUGGCCCAGGGAGUGUGCUUGUGACGUCAGUAGAUAUUGCCAGAAUGCCUUAACUGGUUCAGUUUACCCGACCAACAGGAUGCGGCAGGUGGAAAACAGGGCUCUCAACAGAGCUUUAAUUUGAACUUCUUCUUUUCCUAAAUUGAGCCUGGGCAGAUUUGCUCUGAUUAAGGAGAGAACUUGUUAUGAAUUAAAAAUGACCCAAUUAGGCUGAGAGCCUAGUAAAAGCCUACAGCUAGAAAUGAUUCAACAGUCCAGCAGCUUCUAAGAAGCACCCUUUACUAGGCGCGGCUUUAGUAGUCGCUAAAGACUGAGUUCAAGGAGGAGAGAACUGAGGGGUCCAGGGCACUACAGCAAAAGGAUGCUACAGGCACCACCUUGCCAACCAACAGCGAGGUGAGUGAAUACCGUGAAGGCUUACCAGAUUUACCAAAUGUUACAAAAAGCCGAACCUUGGACCCUGAGGAUGUUUGCCUGUCUUCUGUGAAGUCUAUCUUGAUCCUACUUCUGCCGAAGCCUCCUGAGUGCUGAGAUUACAACGAAAGCACCACUGGGCUCAACUGUGGGACUGACUGCUUUUCUUCCCUACUGAUUCACGUGUAUACAAAAGAAGUGUAAAGGCUGGAGAUUGUCAUGAAUCUGCCACUUCCUUCUAUCUGAGGCUCAAAGGAGAGAGUGGUUAGCUUUCUGUGAAGAACAGAAGGCAGAAGUUCUUUUUGAGAAACAGGUAUCAACUAUGAAAAAUGAAGAGGGGGGAUGGAGCAGGGCAAGAAAUUUCAGGAGAUGUUACAGAAGCAAAAUUGUAAAAAUUAUAAAGUAAUAAACAUAAAAUAUUUAUUAUAAUAUUAAA